AUUGAACGCUGGCGGCAGGCUUAAAACCUGCAAGUCGAGCGAGCGGCGGACGGGUGAGUAAUGUCUGGGAAACUGCCUGAUGGAGGGGGAUAACUACUGGAAACGGUAGCUAAUACCGCAUACCAUCAGCUGUGCCCAGAUGGGAUUAGCUAGUAGGUGGGGUAAUGGCUAACCUAGGCGACGAUCCCUAGCUGGUCUGAGAGGAUGAACAGCCACACUGGAACUGUGACACGGUCCAGACUCCUACGGGAGGCAUCAGUGGGGAAGAUUGCACAAGGGGCGCAAGCCUGAUGCAGCCAUGCCGCGUGUGUGAAGAAGGCCUUCGGGUUGUAAAGCACUUUCAGCGAGUAGGCGUUACUCGCAGAAGAAGCACCGGCUAACUACGUGCCAGCAGCCGCGGUAAUUC
rnacentral:rRNA from 1 species